GAUGAACGCUGGCGGCGUGCUUAACACAUGCAAGUCGAACGGUAAUGCUCCUGCUUUCAGGGGUUCUCGAGUGGCGAACGGGUGAGUAACACGUGGGUUAUCUGCCCUGCACUUCUGGAUAAGCCUAGGCAACUGGGUCUCCUACCGGAUCGGACUAUGGUUUGGAUGCCAUUGUGGAAAUUUUUUUCGGUGUGGGAUGCGCUCGCGCCCUAUCCGCUUGUUGGUGGGGUUGUGACCUCCCAAGGCGUCGACGGGUAGCCGGACUGAGAGGGUGGACGGACUCAGUGGGACAGAGAUACGGGCCAGACUCCUAAGGGAGGCAGCAGGAGGGAAGAAUAAAGAAUGGGCGCAAGACGGAGGCAGGGACGGCGAGUGAGGGAUGACGGCCGUCGGGUGGUAAACUCCUGUCGCGAGGGACGAAGCGCAAGUGACGGUACCUGGAGAAGAAGCGCCGGCUAACUACGUG
rnacentral:rRNA from 1 species